UACGAAGGGGGCUAGCGUUGCUCGGAAUCACUGGGCGUAAAGGGUGCGUAGGCGGGUCUUUAAGUCAGGGGUGAAAUCCUGGAGCUCAACUCCAGAACUGCCUUUGAUACUGAAGAUCUUGAGUUCGGGAGAGGUGAGUGGAACUGCGAGUGUAGAGGUGAAAUUCGUAGAUAUUCGCAUGAACACCAGUGGCGAAGGCGGCUCACUGGCCCGAUACUGACGCUGAGGAGCGAAAGCAUGGGGAGCGAACAGG
rnacentral:rRNA from 1 species